ensembl:lncRNA
AUGGAAAUGACUAAAGUAGUCAAACCUGUUCACUGGAAGCGGAUGAGCGAAUACUUUUGGCAAUAUAGUGUAUGUGUGCCAAUAAAAGUUUAUACCUGUGUAUAUACUUGUAAAUACUACACUUGUUUCUUUUUUUCCCAAACAGACAUGUUCAAAAUUGUCGAAUUUGUUGAGACACAUGAGGUGGAGCUGGUUCCAGCCAUUUGGGUGGAGAAUGGCCAGUGCUAUUGGCCUAAUUCACUGAGGGGUAUGGCCCUUCACCUGGCCAUUAAAAACAAGACACCUCCUAACUGUGACUGGGGAAGUUGGGAAGUCCGAACAAUGUUUUCAACAGACAGCUAUGAAGAGGGCAGAAGGAAGGCUAAAGAGGCAGAGACCUGGUCAGACCUCCAGUCAGACGCAGAAAUGUCUGGACAGAAACCACCAAGGCGUAAAAUGAAGAGUGUUCGAAUUGGCCCACCUGGAGGUUGCUUAAUGGACUCAGAGGAGGAAUCUGGCCCACCCCCCAAGCAACUUCUUCCACCUGCCCCCACUGUAAACCUCCCUGUAGUCAUCCCAAACACCACUUUCACCCCUGUUCCCAUCACCACAUUGCCAGCAGCAGCAGCACCACCACCACAAGGGACAUAUACAGAGAUGCUGCAAAAUUGGCAGCCGAUGGACGAUGUGCCACCGCUGCGGAGUUGUCAGACGUUCAGAAUUGCCCCCCAGCAAUCAUCAGAACCAGCCCUGCUGAGGGAGGUUCUAACAAAAUUAGAGAUGGUGCUGGACCAGCAAUCCACCAUCCUCAGAUUGUUGCAGCUGCGGGAAGACCAGGGACAGCUUUUUGAACAUAGAGGAAGGUUUGCUGCCCCUGCAAGACCUUCCACAACUGCUCAGCCUUGAGCAAAGGAUUCAGCAGAGCCCAGAUUACAAGCAAAAACUGGUAAGAUGUUUUCUUUGGUUUUUUUUUGUUGUUGUUUUUAAUUGUUUGCACAAUUACACAGGUACUGAUUUUUUUUUUUUUUUAAACUGGUACACAAAUUAGGGCUGUGAUGAUAUGCUCUCUGGAAUCAAUCUUGUCAUAAUUCUUGGGUGCCGAAUUGUUAUGAUAUAUAUGCAAUUGACCAUGUAUAUAACCAUACCAGGUAUGGGCAAACUCGGUCCUGGAGGGCCGAUAUCCCUGCAGAGUUUAGCUCCAACCCUAAUAGAUCUCACCUACCUAUAGCCUUCCAGUAAUCCUGAAGACACUGAUUAGUGUGUUCAGAUGUGUUUGAUCAGGGUUGGAGCUAAACCCUCAAGGACACUGCCCCUCCAGGACCCAGGCUGUAAGGGUGGUUUCUCUACAGUGGUUCAGGCUGUAGGAUUGACAAAGGUCUAAGAAGCGUUAUCAGCACAAUGGUAUAAAACUGUGAAUUUCUCAUCUAUUACCACGCACUGCCACUUAUAGCAACAUUGGAAAUAAGUGCAGUUAGAAUAGCUAAAUAUGUGGGAGAGCAUUGAGGGACUAUAUUGUAUUGCAGCUUUACUAUUAACCUUGAAUCAAGACUAGUUAGAGAGGGAGAAAAAGAGGGAGAGAGAGCAGAGCCCCAAGAAGAGCUCCAGCAAAGAAAAGAGGCAGCAAAGGAAAGUGACAGAGCAACAGUUACAAUCUUCUUUUAUCCCUUCUUUGACCAUGUGUAUAAAAACCAAAUGUGAGACAUUCAAACUGACUAAUCAGCAGACUACAGCUUCACCCACUGUGCAAAAGGUGACAAUCAGAAGACCAUCGAUGUGUACACAUGUUGACACAGGACUUGAUCACUGUCAGCACCUCUGUGCCUUCAGGAAUGGCACUUGUAGUAAGAGAAAGGGGGUGGACAAAGCAAAACAAACAUCUUUGUCCAAUUUCAAAUAUCUUUGGAUAAUUUCCAAACCUUUCUUUAAUUAUAUAUUUUUUGUACUUUAAUUCAUUGUUGAAAUAUACAUAUUUAAACAGUGGAUAUACAAAAAUGUUUUAUUGACAUUUUUUUUUUUCUUUUUUAAUUCUGUUUCAGAUAAACUGGUUGGGGCUUAUUGGUGGGGCGGACGUGCGCGACUGCACCUGGCGCAUAUUAAAGAGGUUGAUUGCCAACUCUCUGGCAAAGAACCUUAAUUGGAGAGGAGUCAAUGGAAAGACUUCAGUGGCCACUCUUCAACUCAGAGAGGUUGUGAUUGGUAAGAAAACAGUAUCCCCCGAUUUCACAUACAAGGCUUAGGCCUAGUCCCGGACUAAAAUGUAAUUCUGAGCUAUUUCAACUGAAAGAAACUUGCACUGACUGAUAUUUAAAUAUAUCAGUGCCUUUGUUUUGUCUCAAGAUGCACACCAAUUAUGUUUUUACUAAGUCACAUUUAUAAAAAAUUACUUAGAUGUCCUUAUUGAACUAUUGACUAAUCCUGGCUGUAGUGGAUUCUGUAGUGGGUACGAGUAAAUACAGUUCUUUACAAUCUGUAAUACACAUUAUCAUUAUUUAGGUCACUUCAAUCAAAUCAUGUUACACAGUAUGCACAACAACAGCAUGGCUAAACUGAGGAUCAUUUUUCAUUACUUUGAGACAAUAUGCUUUUUUUAUUUUUACUUUAAUUUAUAUGAAUUAUUUCCUCUCUCAGACGCAAAAACCAUCAAACCUAAAUUACAGUUUACUUGCUAACACAUUUGCAGUUGUUAUUAUAUAUUUUUGUCUAUAAUUAUUUUUAUUUAAUCAAUCUGAAUAUUAUAACAAUUAUUUGCAAUAAUUUAAAAUAAUAUAUUAUUAAUUAGCAGUAAACUUAAUUACUGUCAUAAAUAUUAGUUUUGUAUUUUUACUGUAAUAAAAAUAAUAAUAAUUAUAUUUCAUAUUAAUAGAUUAUUU